ACGCUGGCGGUAGGCUUAACACAUGCAAGUCGUGCGAGAAAGUAUCUUCGGAUAUGAGUAGAGCGGCGGACGGGUGAGUAACGCGUAGGAAUCUACCUAGUAGAAGGGGAUAGCCCGGGGAAACUCGGAUUAAUACCGUAUACCUCCUUAGGGAGAAAGAGGGCCUCUCUUGAUGCUCUCGCUAUUAGAUGAGCCUGCGUAAGAUUAGCUUGUUGGUGAGGUAAUGGCUCACCAAGGCUACGAUCUUUAGCUGGUCUGAGAGGACGAUCAGCCACAUUGGGACUGAGACACGGCCCAGACUCCUACGGGAGGCAGCAGUGGGGAAUAUUGGACAAUGGGCGCAAGCCUGAUCCAGCCAUACCGCGUGUGUGAAGAAGGCUCUAGGGUUGUAAAGCACUUUAAGCAGGGAGAAAAAGUUAUAAGUUAAUACCUUAUAACCGUGAUGUUACCUGCAGAAUAAGCACCGGCUAAUUCCGUGCCAGCAGCCGCGGUAAUACGGAAGGUGCAAGCGUUAAUCGGAAUUACUGGGCGUAAAGCGCGCGUAGGUGGUUUGUUAAGUUGGAUGUGAAAGCCCUGGGCUCAACCUAGGAACUGCAUCCAAAACUAACUCACUAGAGUACGAUAGAGGGAGGUAGAAUUCAUAGUGUAGCGGUGGAAUGCGUAGAUAUUAUGAAGAAUACCAGUGGCGAAGGCGGCCUCCUGGAUCUGUACUGACACUGAGGUGCGAAAGCGUGGGUAGCGAACAGGAUUAGAUACCCUGGUAGUCCACGCCGUAAACGAUGACAACUAGCUGUUGGGAGACAAUGUCUUUCAGUGGCGCAGCUAACGUUUUAAGUUGUCCGCCUGGG
rnacentral:rRNA from 1 species